UACGAAGGGUGCAAGCGUUGUUCGGAAUUACUGGGCGUAAAGGGCAUGUAGGCUGAUAAAUUAGUAAGUGGUGAAAUCCCAGGGCUUAACUUUGGAAUUGCCAUUUAAACGGUUUAUCUAGAGAGAUAGAAGGGAUAAUGGAAUACCCAGUGUAGAGGUGGAAUUCGUAGAUAUUGGGUAGAACACCGGUGGCGAAAGCGGUUAUCUGGCUAUCAACUGACGCUGAGAUGCGAAAGCGUGGGGAUCAAACAGG
rnacentral:rRNA from 1 species